rnacentral:rRNA from 1 species
GGUGACUGCAUCUGCACACACCAAAAGAAAAGCAAGACCAUUGUUGUUAUGGAGAAGGAGAAGAUUUAUCUACAGUUGAAUCAAUUUACUAAGCUGAUUCCUAUAAUGGUUGUUAUGAAAGCCAUGGGAAUGGAAAGUGAUCAAGAGAUUCUACAAAUGAUUGGACGAGAUCCAAGAUAUGGGGACCUCCUGUUUUUAUCUAUUCAGGAAUGUGCCCCAGAGAGAAUAUAUACACAAGAGCAAGCUCUUCAGUACAUGGAUGGCAAGUUGAAGUAUCCCGAUUCAGGAAAUCUGAAGGAAAGUCGGUCAAAAUCAAUACUCCGUGAUGUUUUUCUUGCGCAUGUGCCGGUCAAUAAUGGGAACUUCAGAGCAAAGUGCAUUUACACUAGCGUAAUGUUAAGGCGCAUGAUGGAUGCAAUCUUGAAUGCUGACACUUUUGACGAUAAGGAUUACGUAGGAAAUAAGAGGCUGGAACUGUCUGGUCAACUACUAUCGCUGCUAUUCGAGGAUUUGUUCAAAACAAUGAAUGCUAAUGCUGUGAAGAAUAUGAGCGCACAAAGUAGAAAAGCCCAAACAGAUAGUUUUAAGCAGAUAAUAGAGAAGAAUGUUACCAUAACCUCUGGUUUGGAGAGGGCUAUUAACACAGGAAAUUGGGACAUAAGCCGAUUUGGGAUGAGUAGAAAGGGAGUAUCACAGUCUCUUUCUAGGCUAUCCUACAUUGCAUCUGUAGGCUACAUGACACGCAUAUCACCGCAAUUUGAGAAGACCCGGAAAACAAGUGGACCUCGUGCGUUGCAGCCUAGCCAGUGGGGUAUGCUUUGCCCAUGCGAUACUCCUGAAGGGGAACUUUGUGGAUUGACAAAAAAUUUAGCUUUGUUGGCUCAUGUUACAACAGAUCAAGAGGAUGGCCCACUCAUAAAUCUGUGUUAUACUCUAGGUGUGGAAGAUUUAUCAAUUCUAUCAGGAGAAGAAAUUCAUGCACCAGGUUCAUUUUUGGUCAUGUUCAAUGGAUUAAUACUGGGGAAACAUAGGCAACCUCAGAUAUUUGCUAAUUCUAUGAGAACAUUGCGUCGGUCAGGCUACAUUGGGGAGUUUGUAAGCAUUUUUGUAAAUGAGAAGCAGCAUUGCAUUCACAUUGCCUCUGAUGGUGGUCGUGUUUGUCGCCCACUUAUAAUCGCUGAUAAGGGGAGAUCAAGUGUCCAAGAGCAUCAUAUGAAACAACUGAGGGGAUAGUAUACUCUCAUUUGAUGAUUUUCUGCGUGAUGGGUUGAUUGAAUAUCUUGAUGUCAAUGAAGAGAAUAAUGCAUUGAUUGCAUUGUAUGAGCAUGAGAAUCAAGAUGAUGUUCAAAGAAGCAGAAUCACACACAUUGAAAUAGAGCCGUUGACUAUACUAGGAGUUGUGGCUGGACUUAUUCCUUAUCCACACCAUAACCAAUCUCCACGUAACACUUAUCAGUGCGCAAUGGGUAAGCAAGCAAUGGGCAAUAUUGCAUAUAAUCAGUUGUUCCGGGCAGAUCCUCUACUAUAUUUGUUGGUGUAUGCGCAGCGUCCCCUGCUUACAACGAAAACAAUCGAGUUGGUGGGAUAUGAUAAGCUUGGGGCUGGGCAGAAUGCAACUGUUGCUGUCAUGAGUUACAGUGGAUAUGAUAUUGAAGAUGCAAUUGUAAUGAAUAAAUCAUCCCUUGAUCGAGGUUUUGGUCGCUGCAUAGCAAUCAAAAAGUACAAGGUCACUAUGCAGAAGUAUGGAAAUAAUAUAUCAGAAAAGAAUGUUAAACCGGAGAGGGAUAAAGAUGGUGUUUUGAUGAAAAAGAAUAUGCAGGCAUUGGAUGAAGAUGGAUUUGCGGCACCAGGUCGAAUAAUCCACAAUCAUGAUAUCCAUGUGAAUAAGAAAACUCCCAAGAUAAUUCCUGAUGAUACUGCAAACAGUCCUGCCGUUAGAUUAACAGACAGAUGACAAUUGUUAUUUUUUUGUGCUUCUUUUUAGCAUGCUCCAUCUAUUUUUUGGCUCCAAAGUUUUGCUGUUCAAGAAUGUUAUAUGUUCUCAGUCGCUUCAAACAUUAUUCACCCAGGGAUUACAAGGACUCACCUGCUGUUUACCGAGGUGAUGAUGACGAAACUACUGUAGUAGAUCGUGUAAUACUUUCAUCAGAUACAAAUGACCAAUUGACCAUUAAAUGUAUGAUCCGUCACACAAGGAGGCCAGAGGUCGGUGACAAAUUUAGUAGCAGACAUGGACAGAAAGGUGUUUGUGGUACCAUUAUUCAGCAGGAAGACUUCCCCUUCUCUGAGAGAGGAAUAUGCCCUGACUUAAUUAUGAAUCCCCAUGGAUUUCCAAGUCGUAUGACAAUAGGCAAAAUGCUUGAACUUGUUGGGGGGAAGGCUGGCGUGUCGUGUGGUCGAUUUCAUUAUGGCAGUGCAUUUGGUGAACCAAGUGGUAAUGCUGAUAAAGUUGAGGACAUGGGCUAUAUUCUUGUCAAGCACGGCUUCAACUAUCAUGGAAAAGAUUUAUUGUACUCAGGCAUUUUAGGCCAUCCUCUUGAGACAUAUAUCUUCAUGGGGCCAAUCUACUAUCAGAAGCUGAAGCACAUGGUUCUUGAUAAGAUGCAUGCUCGAGCUAGUGGACCACGAGUUACGAUGACCAGGAAGCCUACUGAAGGGCGAAGCCAUAAUGGAGGCCUGCGUGUUGGUGAGAUGGAGCGUGAUUGCUUAAUUGCGCAUGGUGCCAGCAUGCUAAUAUUUGAGCGUCUCCUACUAUGCAGUGACCCAUAUAAAGUGCAGGUUUGCGGAACAUGCGGUUUGUUGGGCUACUACAACCAUAAACUCAAGACAUCCUUCUGUUCAUUCUGCAAAAAUGGGGAAAACAUGGCCCAAGUGACGAUGCCAUAUGCCUGCAAGCUUUUGUUUCAGGAACUGCAGUCGAUGAACAUUGUGCCACGCCUGAAAUUAACCAAAGAAUGACUUGUAACACGAUUGUGGGCCGUUGAUCUCGAAGGGUGAUUGGAGCGUCUGAGGCGAACCGGUCCGGCAUGAUUCCUGAAGGCUGAAUGUGUGUAAAAAAGUUUAUCCAAGAGCUCUCGGCAUUUUUUGGUGUAUAUAUUUGAGAUGCGAAACUAGUUCUGUAGCUUGAUACAAAGAUUAAGUAACAUGCCAGCUACAUUGGCACGUUCGUUUCCACGACUGUAACCAGGUAUCUUGAUAUGUGUAUACAUACUGCAUGCUUCCUCUGUCGAUUGCAACAUGGAGCACUAGAUGAUAAAAGAGUCAUAUCAUUACAUACUUGAUGAAUAUAGCGAUGUAUGCCGAAUAGAGC